AGAGUUUGAUCCUGGCUCAGAACGAACGUUGGCGGCAGGCUUAACACAUGCAAGUCGGAGGUGAACCGGGACUUCGGUCCCGCGGAAACUGGCGCACGGGUGAGUAACGCGUGGGAAUCUACCCCGGGGUGGGGAAUAACCGCUGGAAACGGCGGCUAAUACCGCAUACGCCUUGAGAGGGAAAGCUUUAUGCGCCCUGGGAUGAGCCCGCGUCGGAUUAGCUUGUUGGUGAGGUAACGGCUCACCAAGGCUUCGAUCCGUAGCUGGUCUGAGAGGAUGAUCAGCCACACUGGGACUGAGACACGGCCCAGACUCCUACGGGAGGCAGCAGUGGGGAAUAUUGGACAAUGGGGGCAACCCUGAUCCAGCCAUGUCGCGUGCGUGAAGAAGGCCUUAGGGUUGUAAAGCGCUUUCAGCGGGGAAGAUGAUGACGGUACCCGCAGAAGAAGCCCCGGCUAACUCCGUGCCAGCAGCCGCGGUAAUACGGAGGGGGCAAACGUUGUUCGGAAUUACUGGGCGUAAAGGGCGCGUAGGCGGAUUAUCAAGUCAGAGGUGAAAGCCCUGGGCUCAACCUAGGAACUGCCUUUGAAACUGAUAGUCUUGAGUCCGAGAGAGGAUGGCGGAAUUCCCAGUGUAGAGGUGAAAUUCGUAGAUAUUGGGAAGAACACCAGUGACGAAGGCGGCCAUCUGGCUCGGUAC
rnacentral:rRNA from 1 species